rnacentral:rRNA from 1 species
CUUCCCUUGAGCGGGGGAUAACGUUUCGAAAGAGACGCUAAUACCGCAUAAGACCACGACCGGUUCGCCGGUUGCGGUCAAAGCUGGCCUCUUCUUGAAAGCUAGCACUCGAGGACGAGCCUGCGGCCCAUCAUGCUAGUUGGUAGGGUAACGGCCUACCAAGGCGAAGACGGGUAGCUGGUCUGAGAGGAUGAUCAGCCACACUGGAACUGAAACACGGUCCAG